rnacentral:rRNA from 1 species
CCUACGGGUGGCAGCAGUGGGGAAUAUUGGACAAUGGGCGAAAGCCUGAUCCAGCCAUGCCGCGUGUGUGAAGAAGGCCUUCGGGUUGUAAAGCACUUUCAGUGGGGAAGAAAGCCUUGGGGCUAAUACCCUCGAGGAAGGACAUCACCCGCAGAAGAAGCACCGGCUAACUCCGUGCCAGCAGCCGCGGUAAUACGGAGGGUGCGAGCGUUAAUCGGAAUUACUGGGCGUAAAGCGCGCGUAGGCGGUCUGAUAAGCCGGUUGUGAAAGCCCCGGGCUCAACCUGGGAACGGCAUCCGGAACUGUCAGGCUAGAGUGCAGGAGAGGAAGGUAGAAUUCCCGGUGUAGCGGUGAAAUGCGUAGAGAUCGGGAGGAAUACCAGUGGCGAAGGCGGCCUUCUGGACUGACACUGACGCUGAGGUGCGAAAGCGUGGGUAGCAAACAGGAUUAGAUACCCUAGUAGUC